GACGAACGCUGGCGGCGUGCCUAAUACAUGCAAGUCGAGCGGACUGAUCAAGAGCUUGCUCUUAUGACGUUAGCGGCGGACGGGUGAGUAACAUGUGGGCAACCUGCCCGGUAGAGCGGGAUAACACCGAGAAAUCGGUUCUUAUACCGGGGGAUAUCUGACAUCACAUUGGGUGAGGGUAAAAUAUGGCUCCUGCUAUCACAACAGGAUGGGCCCGCGGCGCAUUAGCGAUUUGGUAAGGUAAUGGCUUACCAAGGUGACGAUGCGUAGCCGACCUGGGGGGGUGAGCGGCCACACCGGGACUGAGAACCGGCCCAGACUCCUACGGGAGGCAGCAGUAGGGAAUCUUCCGCACUGGACGAAAGUCUGACGGAGCAACGCCGCGUGCGUGAUGAAGCGUUUCGGCUCGUAAAGCUCUGUUGUUAGGGAAGAAACAGUACCGAACGAACUAGGUCGGUACAUUGACGGUACCUAAUCAGAAAGCCACGGCUAACUACGUG
rnacentral:rRNA from 1 species